CGCAUACUGGAGUAAGGUGGGCCCUUCAC
rnacentral:piRNA from 1 species